rnacentral:rRNA from 1 species
GAUGAACGCUGGCGGCGUGCCUAAUACAUGCAAGUCGAGCGAACGGACGAGAAGCUUGCUUCUCUGAUGUUAGCGGCGGACGGGUGUGUAACACGUGGAUAACCUCCCUAUCAGACUGGGAUCACUUCGGGAAACCGGAGCUUAUACCGGAUGAUAUUUUGAACCACAUGGUUCAAAAGUGAAAUACGGUCUUGCUGUCACUUAUAGAUGGAUCCGCGCUGCAUUAGCUAGUUGGUAAGGUCACGGCUUACCAAGGCAACGAUGCAUAGCCGACCUGAGAGAGUGAUCGCCCACACUAGAAGUGAGACACGGUCCAGACGCCUACGGGAGGCAGCAGUAGGGAAUGUGCGGCAAUAGGCGAAAGCCUGACGGAGCAACGCCGCGUGAGUGAUGAAGGUCUUCGGAUCGUAAAACUCUGUUAUUAGGGAAGAACAUAUGUGUAAGGAACUGUGCACAUCUUGACGGUACCUAAUAAGAAAGCAACGGCUAACUACGUG